UGUCUUUUAACACAUUAUUUUUCCUUGGCCAAUUAAUUAGUUUUGAAAAGGUCAGUCUUUUAAGUCCACUAAGUAGUGUCUUUAUUAAUCUUCUAUUUCUUCUGUUAUAUUCACCUCUUUUACUUCUCAUGUCAUCAAGAUGUUCCUCCACUUUCCCCUGUCAAUAAUUCACUUGCAUGAAGAUUUAGUUAUCUGACAGUGUGUGUUUGCUGAUUUUUCCCUUUGCGUUCUCUGAUUAUCUCAUCUUUUUCCUGUUACAAGUCCUAAGAUCCACAAGACAUAUCUUUAUUUUUUCCACUUCCUUUAGGUUGGUGUGACUCAGCUUCUCUUCCAGGUCAAUCCAGUAUACCCCAACAGAGGCACCCAGGUGUGCUUUUAUUGAGACCUGCUCUGACUGCCUAGCAUGAGGAAGAGAACAUUUUCAGUUCAUAUCGUACAGGGAAGGAGGUGAAGGGAACAUUUGAGCUAUCCAAGGUUGAAUUUAAGGAAGAAGAAUAUGGAGCUGGAAAAGUCAUGUGCUUGUGGAGAAGGGAUGAUCACUCAUUACGAGAGAAGAUGGUUUUCAAGAAAACUGGAGAUAAGUAAAGGUACAAGUAAACAGUUGAAAUCAGGAAGUUUGAAACUGGUUUGGAGAAAGGAUAUCCUCUAGUGAAUAAAGCCAUGAACAGCAUAGUUUUUUCCCUAGUAAAGAAUUGAAAUUAACUAAAGCACAGACAACUACAGCAUAAUUAUUUAUGCUGGUAUUAAAUAUAAAUCUAAAUACUUGGAAUAUGCAUAAUGUUCUCUUAAGUUCACUAGAAGAAAAGCUGCAUCUUGUGCAAUAAAAGAAACAAAUAAAAGCAGAUCUUUAAACAUGAAAUAUGACUGUAUGGGCUUUCAUGGUUCUUUUCAUAACCCUCUUUAUGCAUUUUAUUUUUUUUAAUUAAAUCUUUUACUGACGUUUACAGAUGUAAAAAAAAUCUAUACCAUAUGUAUAGCUUUUAAGGGGAAGGGUUGUCUAUAGAAGAUGAUAUUGGCUUAUAAGUAAAAGUAUAUUAAAAUUUGAUGUUCAAUAAAGCAAGAUGCAACUUACCAACAUG